GAGUUUGAUCAUGGCUCAGAGUGAACGCUGGCGGCAGGCCUAACACAUGCAAGUCGAACGGCAGCGCAGCAGUAGCAAUACUGUGGGCGGCGAGUGGCGGACGGGUGAGGAAUACAUCGGAAUCUACCUUGUCGUGGGGGAUAACGUAGGGAAACUUACGCUAAUACCGCAUACGACCUACGGGUGAAAGCGGCGGACCGCAAGGCGUCGCGCGAUUGGAUGAGCCGAUGUCCGAUUAGCUAGUUGGCGGGGUAAGAGCCCACCAAGGCGACGAUCGGUAGCUGGUCUGAGAGGAUGAUCAGCCACACUGGAACUGAGACACGGUCCAGACUCCUACGGGAGGCAGCAGUGGGGAAUAUUGGACAAUGGGCGCAAGCCUGAUCCAGCCAUGCCGCGUGUGUGAAGAAGGCCUCGGUUGUAAG
rnacentral:rRNA from 1 species